AGAGUUCCAAGGAGGCCGAUCCCCUAAAGAGAUCAACCCCAAGUUUAGAAUCUGUAAGGGUUCUAACAACUGGUAUCAGAGCAGCAUUCUUGGCAUCUCGCUGCCCUUCCACUGCCAUCCAUCAACCCUCCACAACCGCCCAAAGCAAUUCCCACAAUUGCUUAAAAGAUCGUCGCCAAAUUCCACCGUCAUCUCCACCACCGCAGAUCAUCCUUUGAUCUCCCUAUUAGUUGCAACAGGUUUUGGUUUCCUACCUUACUGCUGCUGCA
rnacentral:lncRNA from 1 species